GCGGAAAGGGUUAACGGGCUCCGCCGCAUUGGGCUGUCCUUCAAGGGGGGAGCCAGCCAAUGAGCGCGCGCCGCGAUGAGAAGCAAGGUCUCGCUGUGUUACCCUGGCUGGAGUGCAGUGGCUACUUACAGGCAUGAUCAUAGCAUACUGCAGCCUCGAACUCCUGGACUAGAGCAGUUCUCCUGCCUCAGCCUCCAGAGCAGCUGGGACUGCAGACACGCACCACAGAGCCCAGCCUGAGUCAUUUUGAUUCUGUAACUGGCUUCCUCUCGGCGGGCAGGCUCACACCCUCCACCCCCAGCUGGAGAUGGAAGGAGGAUGCUCACCGCCCAUUCCUCAUGCAGGCCAUCGAUGG
rnacentral:lncRNA from 1 species